rnacentral:tmRNA from 1 species
ACACUUCACAUUAAGCGGGCAGCGCCUAUAUAGGUCCUGCCCGUUUUUAAUGGGCUAUGGCGAUAAAUUGCGCCGUGUAAUAGGUACAGCGGACCCGGGGGCAGUACCCGGCGGCUCCACCAAAAUUCGCGGAUUUCCGCAGAUCCUGAUGGGGCCGAACCAGGAUCGACGUGUGCUGAAAGACGGUGUUUUUGCCCGGGCUGAAAACCCCGUAAAACUGUUCAAAACCUAUAAGUGCCAACGAUAACGAAGCACUCGCUAUUGCAGCGUAAUCUGACGUCCUAACGGACUGAUCUUACAAAGCUAAAGCGCGGUUGGACCCACCGGGCAACAGAAGCGGAUUCCG